GUUUAAACACACUAGGUAGUAAAAUAUAUAAAACCAUUAUAAUAUGGCGGUUUCAUUAUUUUUAGAGAAACUCGCUUUAUAAUCGAUAAUUCACGAUAACUUUUACUUUUUAUAAAAAAAUUUAUAUACCGCCGUUUAAAGAAUUUAUUAAAUAAUAAAACUCACAAAUCAUUAAAAACGAAAAAAUCAGGUCAAGGUGUAAUCAAUUAAAAAGGAUAAGUAAGUUACAUUAAAAAUAAUUUAAGGAAUAAUUAUAAAAAUAUACACAAAAAAGAAUUUAUAAGUACAUUUAAAUUAAAAUUUAAAAUCGAAGAUAACUAAAUGAAAUGU
rnacentral:rRNA from 1 species